rnacentral:rRNA from 1 species
AUUGAACGCUGGCGGCAUGCUUUACACAUGCAAGUCGGACGAGUGGCGAACGGGUGCGUAACAUAUCGGAACGUCCCGCGUAAUGGGGGAUAACUAAUCGCAAGAUUAGCUAAUACCGCCUAUUAUUCGAGCGGCCGAUAUCUGUUUAGCUGUUUGGUGGGGUAACGGCAUACCAAGGCGACGAUCAGUAGCGGAUCUGAGAGGAUGAUCCGCCACACUGGAACUGAGACACGGCCCAGACUACUACGGGAGGAAGCAGUGGGGAAUUUUGGACGAUGGGCGCAAGCCAGAUCCAGCCAGUCCGCGUGUCUGAAGAAGGCCUUCGGGUUGUAAAGGACUUUUGGCAGGGAAGCGGGACCUGAAGAAUAAGCACCGGCUAACUACGAGCCAGCCGCCGCGGUAAUAC